GAUGAACGCUGGCGGCGUGCUUAACACAUGCAAGUCGAACGCUGAAGCCUAGCUUGCUGGGUGGAUGAGUGGCGAACGGGUGAGUAACACGUGAGUAACCUGCCCUUGACUCUGGGAUAAGCCUGGGAAACUGGGUCUAAUACUGGAUAUGACCUGUCACCGCAUGGUGUGUGGGUGGAAAGAUUUUUUGGUUGGGGAUGGACUCGCGGCCUAUCAGCUUGUUGGUGAGGUAGUGGCUUACCAAGGCGACGACGGGUAGCCGGCCUGAGAGGGUGACCGGCCACACUGGGACUGAGACACGGCCCAGACUCCUACGGGAGGCAGCAGUGGGGAAUAUUGCACAAUGGGCGCAAGCCUGAUGCAGCGACGCCGCGUGAGGGAUGACGGCCUUCGGGUUGUAAACCUCUUUCAGUUGGGAAGAAGCCUCUUUGGGGUGACGGUACUAGCAGAAGAAGCGCCGGCUAACUACGUGCCAGCAGCCGCCGUAAAAC
rnacentral:rRNA from 1 species